GGCUGGUCCGAUGGUAGUGGGUUAUCAGAACUUAUUAACAUUAGUGUCACUCAUGUGGGUCUACAAACCCCCACUGCUGAAUUUGACCAGCUAAAU
rnacentral:Y_RNA from 1 species